rnacentral:rRNA from 1 species
AGUGAACGCUGGCGGUAGGCCUAACACAUGCAAGUCGAACGGCAGCACAGUAAGAGCUUGCUCUUACGGGUGGCGAGUGGCGGACGGGUGAGGAAUACAUCGGAAUCUACUUUUUCGUGGGGGAUAACGUAGGGAAACUUACGCUAAUACCGCAUACGACCUACGGGUGAAAGCAGGGGAUCUUCGGACCUUGCGCGAUUGAAUGAGCCGAUGUCGGAUUAGCUAGUUGGCGGGGUAAGGGCCCACCAAGGCGACGAUCCGUAGCUGGUCUGAGAGGAUGAUCAGCCACACUGGAACUGAGACACGGUCCAGACUCCUACGGGAGGCAGCAGUGGGGAAUAUUGGACAAUGGGCGCAAGCCUGAUCCAGCCAUACCGCGUGGGUGAAGAAGGCCUUCGAGUUGUAAAGCCCUUUUGUUGGGAAAGAAAAGCAGCAGGUUAAUACCCCGCUGUUCCGACGGUACCCAAAGAAUAAGCACCGGCUAACUUCGUG